rnacentral:siRNA from 1 species
UUUGGCAUCGGGUCCGUACAGUA